AAAUUUGGACGACAGUAUUUA
rnacentral:misc_RNA from 1 species